CAGGAGGUAGUUUAUAUAGAAUAUCA
rnacentral:tRNA from 1 species